CACUUUGCGCAGAGGUGGUACCAUAGCCAAUGAGGGUUAUCCGAGGCGUGGUUAUUGCUAGUUGAAAACUUUGCAUUCUCAGUUCAAAUCCUGCCAAAAUCAACUUUACCUUUCAUUUUUUGAAGGUUGAUAAGUAUUAAUCAA